UAUAUAUAUAUGUAUAUGUAUAUUUACGUUAAUUUCGGUUUAUAUUUAGCAAAUUCUUUUAGAGAGAGAGAAAGAUACACAUAUAUAUAUAUAUAUAUAUAUAUAUGUAGCAACAUGCAGUUCAUAUCUACUGCAUCUAUCUACUGUUUUACAUAUUUAUUAAUUUUUUGUUGUCAUCAUGUGAACGAUAAGCGAUAACUUGAAAGUGUACAGGGCUCUUUUGUCAACGAUUCGUUAUUAUUGCCAUUAAUAUGUAUAACGCUUGAAAUUUUUAAAUAAUUUACCUCGAUUACCAUCAGUAGAUAAAAAAGAAAUUUAAAUCGUUGCGAGUUAAAUGUGUUGCUUUUUUUAAAUUAUUCGAAUAAUUUCGAUCUUUCUUAUGAAAUUGAAAGAAAUAAUCGAUUAAUCGAUUAUCGAUCGAUCGAUCGAACGUGUUGAAAAAGAGAGAGAGAGAGAGAGAUAUCGAUGAUAAAAGAAAAAAAAAUUUGGAUAGAAAUUUUACACGUAAAAAGAAAAAAAAAGAAAAAAAAGAAAGAAAAAAAAAAGAACCUAGCAAUAAAUUUUCUAAAUUAGUGGAUAGUGAUUAAGAUUACCGUGAAAGGUUGACGAUUUUUCGAUCGUUUUCGGAUCUUUUUACGUAUUAAUUAUACGACUGAGGAAGAAGAAGAAGAAGAAGAAAAAAAAAAUUAUUAUCGAGGGAAAUAAUUUUCUUUUUAUCGAAGCGACAAAUCGUGUAUCCGUCGAGGAAAUCGGAUACGAGAAUCGGAUCGAGUGUAUCCAGAUCGGAACCAUUUUCGAGCAAUAACCAUUUUCGUACACGAUUUACAAUUUACAGAAUUUCGAGUUACGUAAAUUUGCUUAAAUUUGAUUGAUAAAAAAAAAAAUUACUCGUCUCGUUAUCUAAAAGAUAAAGGAUGAGAAUUCGAUGGAACGAAGAUGGAGAUGGUUAAUUGAUAAUGUCGCGGUGAAAAAGUGGUUGAAGUCCAUGCUAUGGCGAAUUAAUUAUAUUUUUAUUUACGUUCGAAUUAAAUUUUCCAACGAGUUUGACAAGUAUCGUUAAAAUUAAAAAAGAUUUAGCUGUCUUUUAUUUCGAAUUAAUUAUUUCCCUAAAUUUUUGAGGGAGAUUGAAAAUCCGAAAAUUUGAUCCGAAUCUGAAUUUAAUAUUCGAAUAUAUUCUCGAUCAAAUUUAUUCAUUAUUCAUAUUCCUUUAAAAGCUUUUAGCCGAAUAUUUAAAAAAAAAAAAAAAAAAAAAAGAAAGAAAAAUGUUCUUAAAUUAUUCGCCGAAUAUAAUUUACUUAUGCAAUUUCAAUUAAACGUGUGAAUUAAAUUGAAAUAUCGUAACCAUUUCCAUCCAUCGUUUUUUUAAUCCCCGAUGAUCAUAUAUACAUAUAUAUAGCGUAUAUUGGUUCGAUUUCGAAUUAAUACGAAUGUCAUUUCUUUUCAACGAAUCGUUGUCGUAAAAAUUUAUUUUUCAGUUUUUUUUUUUCGGAUAAUUAUCGACUCGAUCGAUUUCGAUGUGUGUCUUUUUUUUUUUUUUUUUUUUCGGAAGCAACGUUCGCGAGGAAAAAAAAAAGGAAAAAGAAAAAGAAGAAAAGAACUAACAGUUACUUUUUUGUAUUGUUAGAGUUCUAAUUGUUGUACUUCUUGAUUAGUUAUUUUUUAUAAGGCGAAAUAAUUUGUAAAUAAAAUAAUAAUAAUAAUAGUAAUAAUAAUAAUAACAACAUUAAUAAUAACGAUAAUUCGUAAGAUUCGAGGAGGAAUAACAAGAGAGUAAUAAUUAGAAGUAAAAAAGAAAAGAAAAGAAAAGAAAAGAAAAGAAAUCGAAAAGGUGGAAAACUUUUUUUGUGAUGGAUGGUAAUAAAGGAUAAUUAAGUAAUCGAUCGAGUUACCGUCGUACGGUAAGAUCGAAUUAUCGAAUUAAUUAUCCGUUAGGUUAACCUAAAAAUUAGUCAUUGAUCAACGAGUUAAUUAACUUAGGCCGGAUUCAUGGAACUUUUACUCUUAUAGAUAUAAAUAGAGAGAAGUGGCAAUGAUUCGAGAAGAAAACGUUAGCGCUGUUUUACCAUUUUUUUUUUAUCCCCCUCCCCGUAAUUUUGAAGAGGAGGGGGAGUCGUAUUAAAGUGAUCGGUAUGGUUUAUAGUUUCCAAAUAAAAUAUCUCUUCUCUGUUCUUUUGUGCGAUUAUACACGUUAAAUAUACGCGUAACAGACGUGCCACACCAACCAAUUAGUCGACGAAUAAGAAUAAAUGAAUAAACAAAUAAAAAAAAAAAAAUAGAUUUCGAUUGGAAAACGCGAUUCUAUCAGGCUGAAAUCACGCGAGGGGGGAAUAGUAAAUUUUAAUCGAUCGAUCAUUCUGCGUCGAGACCACCGAAACGAUCGAAUGAAAUUCGUAUGAGAAAAUCGAUCGAAUGAUUAUAAUUGAAAGUAAAAGUGAAGAAAAAAAGAAAAAAGAAAAAAAAAAAAGGAAAAAGUUCGAAUAGUUUAGAAAUUGAUUAAACGAAUUUUAAAUGACCCGCGAGAAGAGAGCGAGCGAGAGAGAGAGAGAGAGAGAGAGAGAGAGAGAGAGAGAAUGUUGAGAAAGAUAAGAUAAAAGAAAACGUGCGAUCGCGUAUGAGGGCGAAAACGGGGAAAGAGAAGGUGUGUGCGUGCCGCCGAGCGUCUGGUUGAGAGAGAAAUAGUAUGAAAAGAAAAAAAAAAAAUUUAUAAAGAUAUACGAAUAAUCUAGAUACCAGAUAACGAGAUAACAUACUCCAUGCCUUACAUAGAAUUAUCUAAUAAGCCUAAGUAGAUGUAUCUAAUUAGCCGUAUUAAUUGAGAAAAUAAAUUACAAAAUUACGUGGUGGUCAACAAAGAAUCGAGAAAUCGAACAUGUAUGCACAAAUCGGGUUUUGCGAGUAGAACUUUGAAAUGAUUUGAUUCGAUUAUUAUAUCUAUUCAACGUCGCAACGCAUACAACGUUGUACAUAUAUUUCCUUUUUGUUUCUUUCUUUUUCUCUUCUAGAAUCUACGAAAAUGAAUAUAUAAGAAAGAAGAAUUCUGUGAUUAUAUUUGUAAAGAAAAGAAACGUUGAUAUUAUCGAUUUAGUUACGUGUAUGUGUUUUUAUUUCAAAGGGAAAAAAAAAAAAAAAAAAAAAAAAAAAAAGGAAAAAAAAAAAAAGAAACAUUUAUUUAGCAUAUUUAAAAUAUAAAUACAUAGAAGAAAUUGGAAGUGGAAAGUGGUUGUGAUAACUUGUUUGAUCGUUUGGAGAGAUAUUUUCAUCGACGAUUAUAUAACCGUAAACAAAGUGCACGAUAGUUACGAAUAUUUGUGUAUAUAUAUAUAUAUAUAUGUAUAUAUGUAUACAUAUAUAUAUGUAUACCUGUAGAUUUCAAUUGUUACUUACUGAAUGUCAUCGAUGAGAAAUUUCGAUAAACGAAGUGAAUUAGUUAAAGUAGCCGCCGCUAGGUUCGUUGUUGACCAAGCUUUUUUCUUAAUCGAUUUACAAUCCCUAAUUAGAGUGGAAAAUGGCGCUGAUUAAGUAGAAAUUAUCUUCAAUUUUCGAAUCGAGGAGAGUUAGAACGGAAAAGAGGAGAAAGAUAUAAAUAUAGUUGGCAAUAAAAAUUUAAUAAAUUUGUCGAACGGUUAUGUGAUUAAAAAAAGAAAAAGAAAAAAAAAAAAAAGAUAAAUUGAAUAAUUUACCGAAACUGUAAAUUAAUAACGAAUUGCGAAAUUCAAGUGAUAUGUUGAUAAAUAUAUGUAUAUUCCUUAAACGAUGAUUUAUUUCCCCAAAGAAAGAUUUAUUUCAUACAUAGUUACCGUGUGAUAAAGCAGAAUAGAAGAAUAACAAAUAUUUAUUAAUCGUAACAUUGUUUAUUUAUACAAAGGAAAUAUUAUUAAAAAAAAAUCCUAUUCUUUAUUCGUUUUAAUUUAUUUCUUUAUUAUAUAAUUAAAUUUAUUAGUCAUCCGAUAACAACUUAAUCGCGUAAUUAUAUAUAUAUAUAUGCAAAUAUGCGAUUGUGAUUCAGAGACAAGUCACUAGUAUGGGGGAUAACGGUUGAAAGAAACGAAUGUUUUUUUGUUUUUUUUUUUUUUUAUUUAUUCCAAGAUAAAUAUAGAAUAAUAAAAUAAUUUUAAUUAUGAACAAACACGUUUUUAUCGUCUAUUAUAUAUCUGAUAAUAGUAACGAGCAAGUGAAAAUUAUCCAAUUAUUCAAUUUUUUUUGUCUUUUAACAAGUUUCUUUCUUAACAAGAAUGCAAUGAUUUAUUAUUAUUAUUAUCGAAGAGAUAAAUUUAUUAGGAUAAUACUAUUGUUCGUUUCUAUCGAUAAGAAUAAUAUUAAUUAAGCGAAGAAUACGUAGACAUUCUGGAAAUGGUUGUUGUUCACUCGCGGCGUAUGUGUAUAACGCAUCCAUGUUUGUCAGCGUUUCUCAACCUUCAGUAGGGAAGAUUAAAUUUUUUUUUUUUAUUUUAUAUGCGUUAAAUUUUUCUCUCUUUUCAUUUAAAUCGUUGGUUGAGAAACGGUGAAUCGACUCCUCGAUAUUAUUGUUUUCUUUCCAAAAUCUGAAGAAAUUGGACGAAUCGAGCUUAUAAUUUUGAAAUUAAAAAGAAUUCCUCGUAGAAAGAAGUACAAGAAGUUUCAUUAUAAUGGAAAAAAGAUUUUAAUCAAUCGAGAAAGAUUAUUAGUCACCGGUUCGUCCAAUUCUCUUUCUCGAUUUUGAUUGGAUUUGAAAAACAGAUUGUUAUCAUCGAAUAAUAAACGAGUAAUUAUCGAGGAAUUGUGCGAGGAAUGGGUGAAUAAAAUCAACCGUCAGUAUUGCAAAAUAUUUUUUGGCACGUAUCAUUUUCACAAUAAUAAUAAUAAUAAUAAUAAUAGUUAUAAUAACUAAUUAUAAUAAUAUAAUAAUUAUAAUAAUAAUUAUAAUAAUAACGAUAAUCUGUUACAACGAAACGAGAAACUUGUACACGUAAACACACACAACACACACACACGCGCAUGCGCAGAGAAUAUUUUGCAAGUAACUGCGGUAGAUCGAGAUCAUUGUAUGAUGAAAUAACGUAAUUGCACGUUCUCUUUCUUAUUUCUCUAUCGAAACAAAGUGUUUUUUUGUUCAAGCGUUGAUCGUAAAUAGAUAGAACGAGGAAUCGUUCCACGCGAGAGAACGUGUAGAAUAAAACUUGAAAGUGAUGGCGAUACCGUCGGUCUUCUCUCCAAAGUUAACCAAUAAGCGAGCGAGGAAAUAAUAUAUAUACUAUACUAUAUAUACUAUAUAUAUAUAUAUAUGUAGAGGCAGAGAGAAAGAGAGAGUGGCCACGGUUGUGAUAAGCUAUUAGUUAAGUUAAAAAUUAGUUGAUUUACUAAUUGGUAAAUUAGACGAAUCGUCCUAACCGGUUAGUGCGGCUUCAUUGUCCUGAUUUGUUGUUUGUCAUUUCUUUUAUUCUUUCCUGUGUUAUUUUUAAUAAAUUCACGGAUUAUUUUGUUUAAAUGUGCCUGUGGUUUGUUUAUUUAUUCAUCCCCGUUUAUAUAUACAUCUCCUUUUUUUCUUUUUUUUCUUUCAACAUCUUUAUACAAAAAAAUAUAUAUAUAUACAUACAUACCUUGAUUAAAAAAGUUUGACAGAAACGGAUUGGAUUUAAACGAACUUUCGAUUGAAAGUUAAACUUUCAGUGUGAUUUUAUUUCUCAAGGAUGUACGCAUGAUUUCGCAGCGAAAAAAGGAUAUGGAACAUGGUGAAAUCUUGACGAUUAAAAAGGUUAAACGUAUUUUUUUUUCUUUUACGUUCAAGACACAUUUUCUGGUAUGUAUUUCGACUAUGGAUAAUUUUCAUUUUAAACAAUUGGUAUCUAAAGUAAACGAUUCGAUCGAUGAAUUCUCAUUAAUUAUAUAUAUUGUAUAUGCAAUUAAUAUUACAAUUAACAUUGGAAAUGUUUGCAUCAACCGAUAUAUAUUACUGUCAAUAAUAAUUGUAAUAUCUUUUGUUUCAAAAGUUAGAUACGCUUUUCGAAAUAUAAUAUUAAUUAUUUAAACGUGGAUCGUUUAAAUUUAGAGAAAUAUUAAUUCAGAGGUAUGUGGAUUUAAGACGAAGAUUUAACUUAACCUAUAAUUUACUCGUUACUCAGCGCCAUUUCUCACGAUAUAUAUCCCGAGUCAAUGCACGAAACAACAGCAAUAAAAAAAAAUGAUUUUUAAGCGGUCACUAUUCGAUAUUGUUAACAAUAGUUUUAUAUAUAUAUAUAUAUAUAUACAUAUAUAUAUAUAUAAUAGUCGAUCGAGCUGCGAACACGAGAAAGAAGAAUAGAAAUUUAACGAAGAAGAUUGUUAUGUUGAUUCGAGGUCUCUUGCGUGAUUCAGAAUUAUAUUUUUAUCGUUUAAUAAGGGAGAGGAGGGGGAAGAUCCAAAGUUUUUUGUAAAUUUCUUCUUGUUCGUGUUCGAAAAACGAAUUACGUUUCUUUUCAUUUCUUUUUCGAAAAUUAUUUAUUUUGGAAAUUUCCAUCCUAUUUACAAUCGCAAUUAAUUUUAAAAUAACGAAAUUUAUAGGGAUAAAAAGAUGGCGAAUAAACUUUUCCCCACUCUUCCCCAUUUUCUUAUAUAUUUUUUUUUUUUUUAUUUAUUUCCUAAAAACUGAAAGAGACUAGUAGAUUAAAGGAAAGAAAGAAGCGUAAUCCGCAAAGCUCGAUUAUAUAAUCGUUCAACGCGAUAAUACCAGAUAAUUGUGAUAAAAAUUUAAGCGAGAGUGAGUGAGUGAGUGAGCGAAUGAGCGAGUGAGCGAGCGAGAGAGAGAGAGAGAGAAAGGCGUAACACAAGCGACGAUAUACCAAUAGUUAGUUAGUUAAUAAUUGAACACAUAGAAGUAGAUAAUUUUUUAGAGAAAAUAAAUUACAGGGAAUAUUUAUACAUACGCGUGCGUACAAAGCAAAAUAUAUAUACAUAUAUCUAUAUAUAUAUAUAAUAGUUGCACGCGUGCAUGUGUAAAGUAAAUAUAAAACAAGACGAGAUUUUAUCCACGAAGCAGACAAGUGAUCGAUAUAUAUAUAUAUAAAUAUAUACAUACAUAUAUAUAUAUAUAUAUAUAAUUGAUUUGAAGGGCUGUAUUAAUCUACACGUAAAUUAGAAAAGGAUAGACAGAGAUAUAUACAGUACGAUUAAUCGAUGAAAAGCAUUAGAAUUAAUUAUUAUACCGAUUAAUUAAUUGAAUGCAUACACGUGUAUACAUUUAACAGCAGCAGUAAAAAUGAUGUACUUGUAUACAUAAAAUACCAAUACAAUAUUAUUAUUACAAUUAUUAUUAUAUAUAUAUAUUAUACAUACAAAUAUAUUAUAUUGUAUACACAUUAGUGAAUGUUCAAUGUUGAAAUAAAAUACAUAUACGUUGUUUACACCAUAACGGAUUAUAUUCUUCUCCGUUGUUUUAUUUUUCACUCGCAAUUCCUUCCGUUUAUUUCGAUCAUUACGAUCGAAAGCUGCAUCAUGUAUUUUAUUACUAGUCAUCAUCAUUCGGGUGCUAUUUAUUUUUUUAUCUUUUCGUUUUUAACGAGCAAAAAUGGAAUCUCACCGAGAUCUAGAGAAGCACUAUUUAAUUUAUUUAUAUUCGAAAAAAAAAGAGGCGGAAGAGAGGAAGUGGCGUAAAUAAUGCAAAAAAAAAAAAAAAAAAAAAAAAUGGACGAAACUUGUGCAUCCAUGCGAUACUUUCAGCGAAGAGAAAAAGAGGAUAUUUUUUUAUCGAAGUGUUUGCACAUUUAUUAUAGACUAUGUGCUUUCAAUUUUUCCGAUUAAUGUAGAUAAUUUUGAAAACAAAAAAAAUUGUUGUAAAAUUUAACAAGUAAAACGGGUUGGUCAAUAUUUUCACGGUAGAUCCCUCGAAUAAAUUUUAAAUUACUCUUUGCAUUGUUAAUAUCGCAAUUUAUUCGAAAGAUGUUCGAGAAACUCAUUGGAGGAUUCCAUUUUAACUUGGCCACGCGAUUAUCUUCCCGAUUAAUUUUCAAUUCGAUUCAUGAAAAUAAGCACGAUUGUAAUUUCGCACGCGGAAAAUUAGAAACAACUCCUGUGCGUGACACGGUAUUCGCGAACACGACGAAUUUCACCAGUUAUUGCAAUUCGUGUGAAUCGAGAAGUGUUUCCGAUGAAAUAAAAUGAAAGAAUAUUAGCACACAAGGAAACAAUUUAAAAGAUAAGAAAGAAGAGAGAGAAAAAUAAAGACAAGUGAAAAUCUCAUCUCAUUUUGAAACGUAAAUAAUCGUAUAAAAUUUGUUUGUCCAUGGUUUAGAGAAGAGAAAUUAAAAUUGAAAAGGUUGAAGAAAAAUAUAUGGAAGUAAUUUUGCAAAUUCGAUAUAUUCUGUUUCAUCGAUUCUCCAUCCGCCUACGUCAAAUAAAUCGAACGCUAUAUUGUCAUUUUAAUUCGCGCUAGGGAUACGAGGGAUCCUUUCCUUCGACUACGAACUAUUCUUCCAAGAUAAUAAAUUAAAAAAGGGUAUUGAAAUUUGUUUUUUUUCCCCUCACCACUCACGGAUAUUCUUUAUUUUUUCGUUCACUUUCGCUAUUCGUUAUUUUACUCGUCGAGUUUAUAUAUAUAAAGAUGCUGUACGUAUAUUUAUGCGUGAAUUGAGUGUCACUGAGCGUAAUCGCUCGAUUCUGUCUUUUGUCUUUUCCAUCUUUUUGAAACAUCGUACGACGCGACAUGAAGUUGAGCUCAGUGUAGUAGAAACAAAGAGAGUUGAUUCCAAUAUCGAGCAUUGAAAAAUUAUGAAAUUGUUUAUUAAAAGAAAAUAUCAAUUCGAUAAUAAAAGAGAAAGUAAAUCUUGAACUGGAUUUAACACGAGCUCGAACAAUUUUUGAUACUGGUUACACAGAAUGCAACGUUGAUGAAAUAACGCGAAUGGAAUAAAAAAGAAGAAAAAUAAAUUGGUAGAGAUACGAAGAGAAGAAGCAACGAAAUUUGAAAAGCGGAGAAGGCUCGAAGAUUUUUGCUGCGAAGAAUAUUAUAUUCUGUUCGAGGAAAUAAUGACGCGACACGACAAAAAUUUGAGUUGAGAAGUAAAAAUUAAAUUGGAAUAAAAAGUCGACUCGACUCGAUGAACAUUUUUUUUAAUUCAAAUGAUGC
rnacentral:lncRNA from 11 species